CUAUGCGCCUUGCCAGCCCGCUCAGUCAGAGUUUGAUCCUGGCUCAGGACGAACGCUGGCGGCGUGCUUAACACAUGCAAGUCGAGCGGAAAGGCCACUUCGGUGGUACUCGAGCGGCGAACGGGUGAGUAACACGUGAGUAAUCUGCCCUUGGCUUUGGGAUAGCCACCGGAAACGGUGAUUAAUACCGGAUACGACCACUUCUCGCAUGGGAUGGUGGUGGAAAGUUUUUCGGCCAGGGAUGUGCUCGCGGCCUAUCAGCUUGAUGGUGAGGUAAUGGCUCACCAUGGCUUCGACGGGUAGCCGGCCUGAGAGGGUGACCGGUCACACUGGGACUGAGACACGGCCCAG
rnacentral:rRNA from 1 species